GAAAAGAAGCAUACUAAUGAAAUAUCGUUUAAUUUCAUUUUCUGAUCAUAUAUUAUGAUUUUUGAAUUUUGUAAGCUAUCUUUAUAUUUCAUGAUAGUUGUUUUACUUAUCUUAUGCCUUUUCUGGAAGGUUGACUGUAAAUGUACUUUGACGUAAAUGGACUGGACUAUAUAAUAUAUGUCAUAGUAAGAACUAAAACUUUUACUUGAAUGUAACUAGAAUUUUAGUGGAUAUGUAAAAUUAUUCAGCCUGCUAUUGCUUUUUAAUAUAUUAUAGAAGUGUAACUCAUGUAUUGACUGUAACUGUUUAUCGUGUUUAUGUAUUGUGUACCUUUGAUGCUCAAAUUCUUCGAAAUGGUCGGAGUACCCGUGUCGGACACGACAUGACAUGGGUAUGAGUAUGAGAUAUGUGUUGGAUCCUCUAAAUUUCAACUGGACACUUCAUCCUUUUUUUUUCCCGUUUCUACACUCUAUAAACCUAGAGAUGCCUCUGAGAGGGUGGAGAAAGGCUACGGCACUAGAUUUUUCCUUCUUCCUUUUUUCUUUCCCUCUCUGUAUUAGCAGUUUAGGGUUUUAUUUGUAUAAAAUGAAAAUGGGUUCUAUAUAGUGCUAUUUAAUGCUCCACCAAACUUAACAAUGCAUGAUAGUGUGUAUGAAAGUACUGUCAUGCAAAAUAAUAAUAAUAAUAAUAAUAAUAAUAAUAAUAAUAAUAAUAAUAAUAAUAAUAAUAAAAAAUAAAGCCCUAACUUCCCAGUAAAUCAGUAAAUGUGUUUGAAGCCCUGAACAAUGGAAUUUGGCACAAAUUAUAAGAGUUCAGAGGUUUCAUGCCUGACUUUUGCUCAUUCACCUGUUUUUGCUUGGAAAAUGGGGUCAUUCGCCAAAAGCUGACUCUGUUGACCGAGAAUGAGCUGCUGUCUGAGACUGCUCAUCACUCAACCCAAUUCUAUUGAGUGGGACUGGGCUAUUGUUCAAGACUGGGCUAGAAUUAGUCCUAAAGGUCAUGUUAUUAAACUGCAUUUGGGCUGCAAUAUAAUGUCCAAAUGCUUCAAGUACUGCCACUAGAGAACACCAAAUAUGCUUCUCCUGUACCUUCCUUAACCUGUAAAGUGUAUUAGAAACAUGUCCUUUGAAGAACAAAGAAUUACACCUACCAUAUUUGUAUUUUCAAAGUCUAUUCCACGAUUCCAUUCCCUUGCAUAAUCUCUUUGCUUAAAAUGAUGAUUAUACAUCUUAUUAGUCUUCCACAUCACAUGCUGAAAAAUGGAAAGCUGUUUGUUAGUGAAUGCAUGAUUUUGGAGGAGAUAUGGUUGUUUUCCUGACAAUUGCUGGAUAAAUUUAUCUUUUAUUAUUAUUUGUUAUAAAUAUUUCUGUCCUGGAAAUUUUUAAUUCUAAAAAAAUGCGAAAUUUACUAAGAUAUCAAGGUUCCAAAUUCUAUGAACUUGAUGGGUGGAAGAUAAAUAAUUAGACAGGGUAUACAAGAGUAUAUCAGAUAAUUCCUCCCUAUCAUUAAGAUUUCACAAAAGAUUGUGAGUACUGAGACAGAGAUAGAACAUCAGUUUGUGUAAAAAAAUGAGUUAUAUGCAUUAAGGAAAGAAGAUACAUAAAUCUAAUGGAAAAUGGAGAUCUCCCUGCAAACAUAUUCCUUGAUCUUAUGCACAUUUACUUCAUGUAUUGUGGCGUUGGUCAUAGCUUCAGCUUUACAAUAAUAAACAGUCAACUCUUAUUCUCAAGCUUCAUUUUUUACUUUUUCUGAUACAGGUCUUUAACAACAGCCCAGAUGAGACAGCAUAUUUUCGAAUGAUUCUUAACAGAGAAAAUGUUGCUAAUUCAGUUGUAAUGAUUCAACCCUCAUUGAUCUCUUAUUCUUUUCAUUCUGGACCAGAACCUGUUCUUCUCGAUGUGGCUUCCAUUGCUGCUGAUAGAAUCCUUCUUUUAGAUUCAUAUUUCAUCAUUGUCAUAUUUCAUGGAUCAACUAUUGCUCAAUGGCGAAAAGCUGGAUAUCAUGAACAGCCUGAACAUCAGGUAACUAGAUGUAAAAAGUAAUGGCACAUGCAUAACCUUAUCCUCAUGACACUUUUGAAGGAUAAUUCAUUAGCAUUCAACAGUAAAACCAACACAAAAUAAUCAGACGACAGGAAGAGGUGCCUGGUAUCAAGCAUUAAUUUGUAAAGGUUGAUGUUGUAAAGGUUUGAAUGAAAGAAUGGGUAAUCUUUUAUCAGAAAAAAAUAAGUAAAAAUAAAAAUGGAAGGGUAGCAAUCACUUCCUAAAUUCCAUAUGAACUUUGUUGAUUUUUAUUAUUGCGACUGGUAGACUUUUUUGUGAGAAAUAGUCAAAUAGAACCUUAAAACUCAUCACAGUUUAUGAAGCCUUGGUUUUUGUGAUGUAAAUGGUUGCAAUCUCUUGGGGGAUAUUGCUCUCUCAUUCAAAAUAAAUAAAGGUAAGAAAGGUGCAAUACUAAAGUCUUGCAGCCUUAACCAUGUAAUGCAAAUGAUCCUAUUAAAAAUGUUCCCUUAAUUUUUUCCUUGAUUUUCAAAAAUAUCUAGAUUGCAAGAUAUUAUAACUUUUACCGUUAAUCAAGGAAAAUUUUAUUCUGUAGAUUACUAAUUUUUAUUUGAGCUCUCAAUUUUUAGGACACAUGACAUGGGUAUGAGUAUGAGAUAUGUGUUGGAUCCUCUAAAUUUCAACUGGACACUUCAUCCUUUUUUUUUCCCGUUUCUACACUCUAUAAACCUAGAGAUGCCUCUGAGAGGGUGGAGAAAGGCUACGGCACUAGAUUUUUCCUUCUUCCUUUUUUCUUUCCCUCUCUGUAUUAGCAGUUUAGGGUUUUAUUUGUAUAAAAUGAAAAUGGGUUCUAUAUAGUGCUAUUUAAUGCUCCACCAAAUCCAAAUUGCAAUGAAGUCCCUCAUUUUCUAUUUUACAUAACAUUUUAAUAAUUAACUUCUCAUAAUUGAAAAUUAAACCCCAAAAUUCUAUUUUAUUCAUCUUAGCCCCUUAUUCAAUACUCAUUUCAUUCUUUGUGAACAAUUGAUUUUGGUAGCCCCUUAUUGAGUGGGGUGUACAAGAUUAUCGUGAAGAUCUUGGCUAAUAGACUAGAGGAGGUGUUGGAGAAAAUGAUGUUUAAGUUUCAAAAUGCUUCUGUCAAAGAAUGUCAGAUUUUGGAUUCUGUACUUAUAGCAAAUAAAUGCAUUAACUCAAGACUGCACCUAGGGGUUCUAUGAAUGUUAUGUAAGCUUGACAUUUAGAAGGCUUAGAUCACAUAAACUAGGGAUUUCUUUCGUAUAUGCUCAGGUAAUGUGGUUUUGAGGAUAAGUGGUGUUAGUGAAUUCAGUUUUGUAUCUCUACAGUUUCUUUCUCAGUUAUCGUAAACGACACUUCAGAGGGUUAUUUUCGUAGUAGCAGAGAAUUGAAGUAAGAGAUCCUUUGUCUCAAUUGCUAUUUGUCAUUGUAAUGGAGGCUUGAGAAGGCAAUGGGGGAGAGUUUGUUAAGGGGCUUUAUGGUUGAGCAGACGCAAGUAUCUCAUUUGCUAUUUGCAAAUGAUACGCUGAUCUUCUAUGAUGUAGAUGUUGAGCAAUUUAGUAACCUACAUCGUUUGCUCCUAUGUUUUGAAGCUAUAUCUUGAUUAAAAAUAAAUAUGGGGAAAUUUGAGGCUAUAACAGUGGGAGAGGUCGAUAACGUGGAAGAGUUGGCUGCAUAUCUUGGGCUUCUUUUAUGAGCACGGUUUAAAAGUGCACAUAUUUGGAACAAUAUUGUGGAAAUGAUGGAGAGAAGGCUAGCGGGCUGGAAGCGUAUGUACCUCUCAAAGGGAAGCCAUCUUACUCUCAUAAAGUUUACAUUGUCGAAUCUCCCUACUUAUUUUUUGUCAUUGUUUCCUAUUCUUACGAUAGUGGGAAAAAGAUUAGAGAGGAUCUAUAUGGAGUUUCUUUGGGAGGAUUAGGGAAGGAGAGGAAAUUACAUUUGGUUAAUUAGGGUGUAGUUUGUUCCCCCAUAAGAUUGGGUGGUCUCAGACUGAGGAAUCUCGUACUGUUCAAUAAGACCUUGUUGGAUAAGUGGUUGUGACAAUUCGAAGUGGAGAGGGAGAGUUUUUGGAGAAAAAUUAUAAGGGCAAAAUAUGGUUUUAUGGAAGGGGAUGGUGCUCAAUUGAAAAUCGUAGUUCUUAUGGGGUGAGUUUGUGGCAGUGUAUUUGGCCAGGGUGAAGCGAUUUUCGGGAUAAAUUGACUUUUGUAGUGAGAAAUGGUUAUACCAUUAGUUUUUAGGAUGAUUUGUGGAGAUCAACCGCUAAAAGUGAGAUUUCCUUCUUUGUAUCGUACGUACUGUGUUGGAGCCGUCUACCAUGGUGAAUGAUGUCUUAGAUAUACAUAAUGGGAGUUCCAAUUGGAAUAUUGUGUUUGGCCGGGGUUUGCAAGAUUGAGAAUUGGAUGAUUAUGAUUGAGAAUUAGAUGAUUAUGCACUGUUUUUGAUGUCUCUGUACGAGGUACACAUUAGGGUUGGAGAGGAUGAUUGUAGCAGGUGGAGGUUGACAAGAGAUUUUUUUUAGUUGACAUUUAUUUUAGAUCUUUAUUGGGACUUCUAGAGAAUUCGUUUCCCUAGAAGAUGGCAUGGAGAUGUAAACUGCCUCCACGGUUGACAUUUUUACUAUGGACGGUGGUGAGGGACAGGUUUUAACGGUGGAUAAUUUUUGAACAAGGCGUUUUUAUGUUACAGAGUGGUGUUGUACGUGUAAGAGAGAUGAGGAGAUGAUUGACCACUUGUUCCUUCAUUAUGAUAUUGCUCGUUUAUUGUGGUAUGAUAUUGUGGCGCCCAACACAUGGAUUGAGUGUUGCCUAGGCGUAUGGAAGACGUGUUAAAGGCAUAAAGGAGAAAGUUUCGGGAUAAGAAUAGCAAACUUGUAUGGGACCUUAUCACGAGUUCCAUCGUAUGGUGCGUGCGAGGAAACAAAACAGUUGUUGUUUUGAUGAUCGAACACGGACAACAGAGUAGAUUAGAGAAUAUUUGACAUUAUAUGCUUGGUUUAAUAUUGCGG
rnacentral:lncRNA from 1 species